rnacentral:rRNA from 1 species
AAACCAGCACCUCAAGUGGUCAGGAGGAUUAUUGGGCCUAAAGCAUCCGUAGCCUGCUCUGUAAGUUUUCGGUUAAAUCUGUAUGCUCAACAUACAGGCUGCCGGGAAUACUGCAGAGCUAGGGAGUGGGAGAGGUAGACGGUACUCGGGAGGAAGUGGUAAAAUGCUUUGAUCUCUCGAUGACCACCUGUGGCGAAGGCGGUCUACCAGAACACGUCCGACGGUGAGGGAUGAAAGCUGGGGGAGCAAACCGGAUUAGAAACCCGGGUAGUCC